GGCAGUCGUGGCCUAAUGGUUAGAGAGUCGGACUUGUAACCUGAAGUUUGUGAGUUCGAGUCUCAGGUCUGGCA